rnacentral:rRNA from 1 species
UACGUAGGGGGCAAGCGUUGUCCGGAUUUAUUGGGUGUAAAGAGCGUGUAGGCGGUCUGGUAGGUCCGUUGUGAAAACUCGAGGCUCAACCUCGAGACGCCGAUGGAAACCCUCAGACUAGAGUCCGGAAGAGGAGAGUGGAAUUCCUGGUGUAGCGGUGAAAUGCGCAGAUAUCAGGAAGAACACCCGUGGCUAAGGCGGCUCUCUAGUACGUGACUGACGCUGAGACGCGAAAGCGUGGGGAGCGAACAGG